GACGAACGCUGGCGGCGUGCUUAACACAUGCAAGUCGAACGGAAAGGCCCUGCUUUUGUGGGGUGCUCGAGUGGCGAACGGGUGAGUAACACGUGAGUAACCUGCCCUUGACUUUGGGAUAACUUCAGGAAACUGGGGCUAAUACCGGAUAGGAGCUCCUGCUGCAUGGUGGGGGUUGGAAAGUUUCGGCGGUUGGGGAUGGACUCGCGGCUUAUCAGCUUGUUGGUGGGGUAGUGGCUUACCAAGGCUUUGACGGGUAGCCAGCCUGAGAGGGUGACCGGCCACAUUGGGACUGAGAUACGGCCCAGACUCCUACGGGAGGCAGCAGGGGGGAAUAUUGCACAAUGGGCGGAAGCCUGAUGCAGCAACGCCGCGUGCGGGAUGACGGCCUUCGGGUUGUAAACCGCUUUCGCCUGUGACGAAGCGUGAGUGACGGUAAUGGGUAAAGAAGCACCGGCUAACUACGUG
rnacentral:rRNA from 1 species